GAAUAUUGGACAAUGGGCGCAAGCCUGAUCCAGCCAUGCCGCGUGUGUGAAGAAGGCCUUCGGGUUGUAAAGCACUUUUGUUGGGGAAGAAAAGCCAUGGGCUAAUACCCUGUGGUUCUGACGGUACCCAAAGAAUAAGCACCGGCUAACUCCGUGCCAGCAGCCGCGGUAAUACGGAGGGUGCAAGCGUUGUUCGGAUUUACUGGGCGUAAAGCGCGCGCAGGUGGGCGUGCAAGUCGGAAGUGAAAUCCUGGGGCUCAACCCUGGGGCUGCUUCCGAAACUGCAGGUCUAGGGACUGGUAGAGGCUGGUAGAAUUCCCGGUGUAGCGGUGGAAUGCGUAGAGAUCGGGAAGAAUACCCGUGGCGAAGGCGGCCAGCUGGGCCAGGUCCGACACUGAGGCGCGAAAGCGUGGGGAGCAAACAG
rnacentral:rRNA from 1 species